GACAAAGGGGGCAAGCGUUGCUCGGAAUUACUGGGCGUAAAGGGCGCGUAGGCGGGAUGGCAAGUCGGUCGUGAAAUCCCUCGGCUCAACCGAGGAACGUCGAUCGAUACUGCUGUUCUUGAGGAUUGCAGAGGAGACUGGAAUUCCCGGUGUAGCGGUGAAAUGUGUAGAGAUCGGGAGGAACACCGGUGGCGAAGGCGGGUCUCUGGGCAAUUCCUGACGCUGAGGCGCGAAAGCGUGGGGAGCAAACGGG
rnacentral:rRNA from 1 species